rnacentral:lncRNA from 1 species
CUACGCGCUACACAUCCUCGGCGGCCUCGCCGACGUGCUCCACGUUCUUCCAAUUCGAGUAUGAGCUGCUCCCCGAGGACCUCUUUGUCGUCUGCAAUUGAAGCGCCACGAGCUCCACACCCGCGGCAUCCUCCAAUCGAGUCGGUCCGUCUCGGAGAUGGCUGGUCUGAUCCCUGGUUUGAUCUGUGAUGUUGACGUGGAGGAACUAUGCUCUCCUAUUGCCAUCUACUUAUAAUAUUCUUUGUCAAGGACCAAGGUAUGGGUGUGGUGGCCGAAUAGUAAAAUAUCCUAUACGUUUCAUCAGUUUUUGCUUCAUAUCUGUUAGACAAUCCUUGCUUGUGCAAGUGCAUAGAUGUUCUGGUGGUAACAAAUGAAACUGUCUUCUAUAGUAUCCAUAAGCAGUGGCCACUGGUUUCAAUUACUUAUCCAGAAUCUUCUUGAGGAUGAAUUUUGAGUAUUGUAAAUGUUCGUAUAUGCCUCCCUGAACCAGUAUCCACACAGGCAACUCUAUGUUGCUCUUUGUAGAAAUACAUCUAGAAGGAAUAUAAAUUUUCUUACUUUCUCGGAUAAGAAAAAGGAAGGCGAGUCCAACUCAUUGCAAAUUUUACAAAAUGAUCUACAAAUAAGUCUCAAUGUGUAGUCCAAGGUAUAAAGGAAGUACAAUUUGGUGGCAGUAAAAAAACAAUUUAUCUAAUAGGGCAUUUCAUCUAAAAUUGCUUCUCAUGUAUGGUUCUGAAGUUUGUGCAGAGGACUUCUAGAAAAUAUAACUUUAGAUACUUGCUUUAGUGUUUAUGAUAUUUUGGUAUAAAAAAAUCAUACAUGUGUUUAAAUUAUUUUUUGGUAGUUCUCUUUGUUACUCCCGCUGUUCAAAAAAUUGGGAUGGCGCCUACAGCAGGUCUCUUUGUCAUGGAAGCCCCUCCUUUGCUUGGUAGCUCCACAUCCAAUUUUUCAGCUCACACGCCAAUUUUUUUCCCUUGAUGUCGGUUACCGGCAUCUUUUUUUUUGCAGAAUCUUGAUUGAUGUAAGAAAGUUACAAGAGGCCCGGUACAUUUUUUUUUGUGUGUGUAUAUGCACAUGUACACUCGCUACUUCUAUAUGCACAUGAUUCUGAAGCAUCUCUUACUAUACAUUUUGCUUUGUUUAAAUACACUACAAGCUCAGUUUUUUCCUUUGUCUGAAUGUAACACAGGCAAUUAUGUAUGCAGCAGUGAUUAUGUGAUGUCCUUUAUAUAAAAUCGCAUGACUUCGUCAGACAUAUGCACAUAUAUACUCAGUAUCAGCUCCAACUACACUUGGAUUUUUGGUUCUCACCAAAUCACUGAAAUAUUUGAAAAUUCAUGAUUUACAUGGAAGGUCCAAAAGAUGUUCGAUAAGCUUAGGAGUUUUCCGGAGAAACCCUUGGAUUUAGGUCUGAAGCUGAAGAACUACAAGGUCAAAGAAGCAGCAAGUCGUACGCCCCAAAUGUUAUAGCCCUCGUGCCAACAAAGUGCUAAAGGAAAACAAAAAGGGUUGGUAUCCUGUACUUUACCGCCUGGCAAAACAAUCUGCUUGCAUAUUUCUUAAUUUUCGUACCCAACCAUUUAUGUCCAACUUGCAAUGAAUGGUCGACGGCAGUAACAUGCCCAACAUAACUUGCCCCAAUGGUAUGCCAUAUGCUCGAACAAGUUUAUUUAUACCAUCAUUACAUAUGUCGUUCCUGGCGGUGCUGAUGCCAAUUACCCUGAGCCAUUAUGCCUGCUCCUAACCGCAGUCAUCCCUCCAUAAGUUAUGUGUUUCUCCUAUCAGAUCCAAGAAUUUGGUCAUUUUUUGGAGUAGAGAUGUGUAUCAGAUACGUGUGCGAUUGAAACCGUGCUCUCUCCUAAACAUGUGAUUUGCUAAAUGUUUAGAAUGAAUCGGUUGCGGAUCCGCAUAGCACCUUGUGAGCUGCACAUUUAGACUUUCUGUUUGAUUCCUUGUAGAAGCUCGCAGUUCAUCCUUGCUGAAAUUCACUGUACUCCAUCCCUCGGGCUGGUACCAGAUUUGCUAUUCAGUAUCUAGACCAUAUUUUAAUUGUGACGUGUGUCAGAUUUUUGUACUUGGCCUGAUUUGGUGUAAGGCAAAUAGGGGAUCAUGAUCAAGGAUGACUAAAUGUAUUAUUUAGUAGAUAAGUUCUCGAGUCCCACACUUUGUAUCAAGUACUUUAACUUCACAGUCUUCGGAAAAAAUAUUAGUCUGUGUUUAACAUAAUUUGAAAUAAUCACUUUUACAAAAAAACAUAUGCGUACUUGUGUUGUUGUGUGAGAUCUACUUGGAAGUGCUAUAUGAUAAAAUAUAUGUAGCAUUAAUAAUAUCCUUCUGAUUUGUGGUCUGAUAUGUGCUAAUGAGUGCAGUGUUGCUUGUAGAUAGAUUUUUCAUGACUUCAAGUUGUGCCUUCCAACUCCAAGAUGAUGUGUCCCAAAGCCCGUGAGUUCAUAUCUCACUUUUAAUCUCUCAAGUAAAUUUUGAUAUUGUGUAAGUUCUAUAAGGUUGAAAUCCCAUGGAAAAUAUCGCUAUUCUUUUUCUAAGACACUCAUAUGCCUACAUGAACCAGCAAAUUAUUGGAAUGUUUCUUAAAGAAGUACUCCUUUGUAAACUAAUAUAAGAUCUUUAUCUAUUACUCCCUCUGUUAACUAAUAUAAGAGCGUUUAGAUUACUAUUUUAGUGAUCUAAAUGCUCUUAUAUUAGUUUAUAGAGGGAGUAGUUUACAGAGGGAGUACUCUUAAUUGGUUUAGUUCCAUGGCAUAGCAAAUCCUAUCUGACUCUUAUUUUGAUAGUCGACCAAACACACCAUAUCGUGGGCUAGCAUAGCAUGGUCAGAUAUGAGACCGAGGGCUUGAAGUGGAGCCAGAGACUACGCGACCAAAUUAGAUUUUUGUGCAUUAUAUGGUGUCUUGGCAGAUUUGCAUUAUAUGGUGUCUUGGCAGAUUUAGAUUCCCCUUAAAAAAAUGCCAUUGACUCUAUGUUGAAUACUAUUUCGGGGUUACAAGGCAACAACAGCUAGACCAAAUUCUGUAAUUUAGCAUGUUCAGCGCAUUCUGGUUGUGAGUAGGUGUAUUUUAGUUCAAGGAUUAUGUGUGCUUGUGGGCACUUGCAGUUUACGUUUUGUCAAAUUUUGCUCAGUUGUUCUUGUGCAGUUAUUUGAUUACUAUUUGACCUACAUCAUUCGCAAAUAUUUAUGUUGUUGAUUUUCCUUAUUUUUGUAGGUUUGGCGAGAUCUAAAUGGUUGGCUUAGAAGUAGGAUUUUGUUAGUUGAAAACUUUAUGUUUGAUUGUGCUAGAUGUGUACCUAUCAAGUAUGUUUGAUUGUGCUAGAUGUGUACCUAUCAACUAUAUGAGAUCGAUUUGAUCAAUGUCUCAGUACAUUCUUGUGUUUUUUCUUAUUUUUUGUGAUUCCGUAGCGUAGCACGGGCAUCUUACUAGUAAAAGUAAGCAAGGUGGCCUAAUCCAUUUUGUAGCAAAGGAUAAGCCUGGACAAGUUCCUAUAAUGAGAAAAGCGCUCCCGAGGACACAUGGGAAUUAUCGUCAAGCUAGUUUUCAU